rnacentral:lncRNA from 1 species
CCCUCACCUCCGUUUGACUGCCAGUAAAGUACAGCCCCGAGCAGGGCCGAACCAUUUCACGUAAAUAAGGGGAGGAAACAACAAUAUAGCUCCUCCUCCCCUUCACGGACCCCCAGAAAAAUUUCACUUGAAGAAUUCGCCGUGCAGCAGCAGCAGCAGGGGUGAAAUAAUCAAAGCAGGUACUAACAGCAGAAUUACAACUCCACAGGAUAAAUAAAGGGACAUUUGAAGACAGCAUGGAUCCUGAAAAGUCAACGAACGGUCCUCCAAUGGGAUGGACUGAUGGGAAGUCUCCCAUGGACCAACCGGCCCCUCCGCCCUACAACCCGUACCAGGGAUACAGUCAGCCCGUUCCAGGAUACCAACCACCGCCGCAGGACUUUGGACAACCCCCACAGUAUGGAACUGCAGGUUAUGGACAGCAGCCUUACCCCAUGGGUCAGCCUUACCCCACGGGUCAGCCUUACCUCGCGGGUCAGAUGUACCCACCGCAGCCGAACACGGUCACUGUGCAGCCCACGGUGUUCGUCGCUCAGCCUCUGGCCAACCCGGUCAAGGACUACUUGGGCUUUUCCAUCUUCACCAUGAUGUGCUGCUGCCUGCCUCUUGGAAUUGCCGCCCUCAUCUACUCCAUCUCAGCAAGAGAAGCCAAUCAUGUCGGCAAUCGGAUGUUGGCCGAGCAGAGCAGCAGGACAGCCAGGACGCUAAACCAUGUGGGUCUGGGAAUCGGUAUUGGUGCCUUCAUCCUCAUGGUUGUAUAUGCAGCAGUUAUGGCAUCUAUGUUUUAAAAAAUAUCUGUCUCCAUGUACGCCACAAAGUGUAUUUGUAUAGAGAAUUUGCUCUGCGUAUAAGGCAGUAGAUGGCCUUUUGUUGUAGCUGCACAGAGGCCACAACAACGUUCAAAGUCCAACCUUUUCUGCUUUUUGCUUUAAAAUGUUACAGCACACAAUCAGUUUCUGAACACUUUUCAGUAUGUUAGAGUACAUUUGAGUGGAGUUUAUCAAAAAAGUCAUGAUUUGUCUAAAUGAACAAAAAAGUAAAAUUUGUUGUUCUUCUGAGCUCUGUAUUGGCAGAUAUAAUGCAGUAUCACUGUGUGUUUAUCCUGUAUUAGGAGCUGUGGUGUGGAUCACUGGCCUGUGUGUUGUGUUUAAUGCAUUCUUUUUUUCUGAAAUCUUUUCACUGUAUUUGAAAUUGCUUUAUAAAUAAAGUCUAUUAAAAGAAAAGAACA